rnacentral:rRNA from 1 species
UACGGGGGGGGCAAGCGUUGUUCGGAAUUACUGGGCGUAAAGGGCUUGUAGGUGGCCAACUAAGUCAGACGUGAAAUCCCUCGGCUUAACCGGGGAACUGCGUCUGAUACUGGAUGGCUUGAGUGUGGGAGAGGGAUGCGGAAUUCCAGGUGUAGCGGUGAAAUGCGUAGAUAUUCGCAAGAACACCAGUGGCGAAGGCGGCUCACUGGCCCGAUACUGACGCUGAGGCACGAAAGCGUGGGGAGCAAACAGG